UACAAGUGUGACAUCAGCGGUCAUGGAGAGUCUCCAUCCAGCUGGAUCACUGUCACAGGUUCUUCCACAUCUCCUUCUCCAUCAGCUUCCACUGCCUCCCUCUCCUCCUCAUUUUCCUCUCCUCCACUCUCUGUGAUGGUGUCUGUUCCCUCCAUAUUUGGGCUGCAGCUGGUUGUACUGGUUGUACUGGUGAGACGAUGUGUCCCAAGGAAACCUGAAGCUGCAGUGCAGAGAACAGCUGGCAUCACUUAUGGAGACAUCACCAUCAGGACAAACAGCAGACACAGAGGUACAGCUGCUCCUCUUCAAAGGUCCAACCCUAAAUCAAAUGUUAAAAAGCUUAAAUCUGAGCGUGCAGCAGCAGACACUGGGAAAACCAGAACGAAAACAUUACAGCGCUUUGGUCCUUCUGCAGUGUAGAGAGACUAAUGUGGUCAUCUGAAGAUGUUAUCCGCUCCACAAGGAAGAGAAGUGUUAACCUGCUCCUGCUCACAUC